UGAAGGGAGGAGAUGGGAAACUUUCGUACGUUUUACCCCCCAAAACCCAUUUUCCUAAAAUUGUUUUUGUAAUUUGAACCGUGUCUGUGAAUAAAUGUGAAAAGCAACAACAAAGUGAUGAGGUGAAAAACGAGGUGAGUUUCUUUUAUUUUGACAGUUCUAUUUUUUUUUUUUCUGAAAUUAAAAUUUUCGAUAAGGAAAGUUUAUUUACAAAAUAAAUUUACUAAUGGGAGGAGAAAAACAUUCAGAAGAAGAAAAAUAUGUUUUUUUUUUUGUAAAAGCAUAUUUCGUUUUAUUUUUUGGGUUGAACUUGGAGCAAACUGGAUUCACGGUGUCAUUGGCAAUCCCAUAUUUGAGUUGGCCGUACAACAAGGGCUUGUUAAUAUUGUUAACAUACCUAAACCACAUAAAGUAGUGGCUACCACUGAAGAUGGUGCUCAAGUUCCUUUUGGUAUUCUUCAAGAAAUCUAUGAAGCCUAUGUUUGUUUUCAUGUUUUCAAUUACACAACUGAAGUUGGUGGCAAAAUUGUAUUGUGUGUGAAAUAUUUCCAGAAUGGUUUUGGUUUUGAAAACGAAAACAAGAUCGAACACACGUAUCUUUGUAUCCAUUACCAAAAAAGACGACAUGGACGACACAUUUGUUUAAAAACAAAAACUCCAGAUACAGUAGCCACAGGAUCGUUGACGGUACCAAAUUUUGCGGCGUACUUGACAUCAGUAUACUUUUUCAUUCAACACUUCCCAGCUCUGUACACAUUGAUAUGUAAAAUGACAAAAAAUAUUGCAUCAUCAACAUCCAAAGUUAAGUAAAAUUAAGUUCCGAAGUGCGUAAGCAACAAAUCAUUGAAUCCAAUAUCAGAAAAACGUAUUAUAGUUUAUUUAUUUUUCGAAGUAAUGUUGUCAAAAAAACAAAUAAAAUUAAAUGAAAAAAUGGUGGCGGCACCAGAUUAGUCCUAUUUCGUUGUCAUUAAAAAAAAAACUUUAUUAAUUUAAUUCAAAGAGUGGUGCUGGUAACGGAAACCAUUUAUGUAUUUAAGAAAAAAAAAUCUAUACAAAAACUUAUUUAGAAUUAAAUACUCGCUAAUUAAAACAAAAAAAAACUGUUAUGUGCAUUUUACGUUCCUUAAAAUAAAUCCAGACACUGCUCCUAUUUAGAUAAUAUCUGUUUUCUCUUGCUUUAUAUUUCAAUAAAUAUGUUUUUCCUUUCCAACUAUGCAUUUAAAUUGAGUAGUUUUAGUUUACAAAAAUUAAAUGUUUGUGUUCAGCAAUUUAGAGUCGAUAUAAAAAAACUGGUCGGCAAUGAAAAUAGAGCUUGAAUCAAACUCUAUUUUACUAAAGGAUUUUUUUGUCCAAACUCAAAAUUUCACUGGCUAGUCACGUUUUUGAAUUACUUGAAUAUUAACAGAUUUUUUUGGUACAUUUGAUGUCGAAUUAUAUCACCGUUUUUUUUUUUCAAAAUUCUUAUGCAAUCUCAAAAAGUCAUAUU